UUAGGUGGCCAUAGCGCAAGGGUUCCACCUCUUCCCAUCCCGAACAGAGAAGUUAAACCUUGCCACGCCGAUGAUACUGCGAAAGUGGGAAAGUAGGUAACCGCCCCUU
rnacentral:rRNA from 1 species